GACGAACGCUGGCGGCGUGCCUAAUACAUGCAAGUCGAGCGGGGGUGGUGAGGUAGCUUGCUAUUGAGCCACCCUAGCGGCGGACGGGUGAGUAACGCGUGGGCAACCUACCCUGUAGGCUGGGAUAACAGGUCGAAAGGCCUGCUAAUACCGGAUGAGCUCGCGGGGUCGCAUGGCCUUGUGAGGAAAGGGGAGACCCGCUACAGGAUGGGCCCGCGUCCCAUUAGCUAGUUGGUGAGGUAACGGCUCACCAAGGCGACGAUGGGUAGCCGGCCUGAGAGGGCGACCGGCCACACUGGAACUGAGACACGGUCCAGACUCCUACGGGGGGCAGCAGUAGGGAAUCUUCGGCAAUGGGCGAAAGCCUGACCGAGCGACGCCGCGUGAGGGAAGAAGGUCUUCGGAUUGUAAACCUCUGUCUAGGGGGACGAGGAAGGACGGUACCCCUGGAGGAAGCCCCGGCUAACUACGUGCCAGCAGCCGCGGUAAUACGUAGGGGGCGAGCGUUGUCCGGAAUUACUGGGCGUAAAGGGCGCGCAGGCGGCCAUGUAAGUCAGGUGUGAAAGGCCGAGGCUCAACUUCGGUUAGACGUCUGAUACUGCGUGGCUUGAGGGCAAGAGAGGGAAGUGGAAUUCCCGGUGUAGCGGUGAAAUGCGUAGAUAUCGGGAGGAACACCAGUGGCGAAGGCGGCUUCCUGGAUUGUACCUGACGCUCAUGCGCGAAAGCUGGGGGAGCGAACG
rnacentral:rRNA from 1 species